rnacentral:rRNA from 1 species
UACGGGGGGGGCAAGCGUUGUUCGGAAUUACUGGGCGUAAAGGGCUCGUAGGCGGCCAACUAAGUCGGACGUGAAAUCCCCGGGCUCAACCCGGGAACUGCGUCCGAUACUGGAUGGCUUGAAUCCGGGAGAGGGAUGUGGAAUUCCAGGUGUAGCGGUGAAAUGCGUAGAUAUCUGGAGGAACACCGGUGGCGAAGGCGGCAUCCUGGACCGGUAUUGACGCUGAGGCGCGAAAGCCAGGGGAGCAAACGGG